GAGGAGUUGCUGUAUGUUCAAGGAGCUUCGUCCAGUGUUUUGUACGUGUCAGCUCAUCUUAGGAGUCAACCAUGCUUCUGAUACAACCAGUUAUUGUAUUUUGAACCAACUCAUACAACUUUUAUACAAAACUCUUUAAAAACAAAACUAUUCUUUGUGCACAUACAGUAACCUAGGGAAAUUAGACAGAGGUUUAGUUACAAAUAUUUUAUUCAUUUUUUAUUUUAUUAUUUUAUUUUAUUUAUUUUUUUGUAUUCAUGAAACGUAGCGUGUAACACCCACACAGGCAGAUAAAGCUUAGUUUGCUGACCAGACUCUUCUCUUAUAGUUGUUUGGUUCUUAACUCGUGCUUAUUUUCGCUCUUGUCGCAUUUGUGCAAACAAAGCUCAUUGGACCAAUUAGCAGCGCUGCUGUUGUGAUUGACAGAGGGAAGGAGCCAACCAGCUUCGAGAGAAAACAGGUUCAGGUGACGUGCGCGUCAAUCAAAACAUGAUGAAUGGCAGCGUCGAAACUAUCGCACAUUGGCUCCACUCUAUCGUAGAUCGUACAGAACACAAACUGUCGUAUAAAUAUGAUAAUUAUCGUAUAUCUGGCAACACUGUCAACAGUCGCUCGUGCUGCUGCGAAGAUAUCAGGGGACGGACGUGCGUUCUUUGUUGGAAACGAAGCAGUUUGUUCCACGGACACGCAGACAAGCAGCGGCAGACAGCGAGGCAGGCAAACAUCCGAACGCUUUCCUCCGUCAAAGUGCAUGUGGGAAUGCUGUGCUCCUGUGUGUGGACGCUGUGUUGCAUCAGAAGCAGAUCCACCGUCACAACACUUUCCUGCGUUUGAGGACACGUUACAGCCGCCUGUUUGUGGGUCUCUCAGCUCCUGGACUCGUGCGUUAACACCCCUGAAACCCCCUUGAUGGAAGCUUGCUCUGCCGACCACCGAGUGGCUGUCGGGGACCGCAGGCCCAGGCGGACGCCGCCACCUCUGAGCUGCUGCGUCGCUUUGUCGGCAUCGUCCGCCUCCUGCGCCGCUCCUGUAUUCAGCUCCCGUCUCCUCCACUCACUGGAUCAAAGGAACAAACUGGGAGGUAACACAGUAGGCGCACAGACCGACACAUCAGCUUUCAUCUUUACUAAAAAGUUAAAUAUUCAGCCAUUUAAGACAAUUAGCAUUUAGCUCCAGUGUCUCUGGAGCGUCAGAGUGUGUUUUGCUGUUUAUUGACCGUGCUUUAACUUCACUUCCUCAGUUAUACUGUGGAAGAACAGCUGUCACUCGGCCUGACAUCCAAUUUAAUCAUCCUGGUGGCAGCUUGCUGCAGCGGGGGGCACGUUGUCAGAUCUCAGUUUAGAGGACAGCUAUGAAACACUUUAAUUUGUUAUUUAAAGUAGUCUUGUGGUUUGCGCGUGAACUCUUGAUUAAUUCAUUGACUUUGAAGGUUUCGCUUCUUAAGAAGCUACUGGGUUGUAAUUGUCUCCUUUCAUCUGUGGUAAAGAGUCAUAUUUGUGCUGCGUCAGCUCAUUUCGUUGGAGGUUCUUAUAACUCUGUAUUAUCAUUAUCAUCACAGACAAUUGUUCUAACAGGCUGCGCAUUUGUCAAAAGUUGCUUUUUGGAGUUUGCCUGUGAACAUAAUAAGCAUUCGGCCAAUUCGAGCCCUUUAAGUCGUGGGUGAAAAAGACAUUUUCUGUCUAAUGAAUACACAGCAGAGUGUCUGUGAAUGCCUCGGCAGCCUUGAGGUUUACCGGCUAUGCCUGAUUGAUGAUGUUCAAACAGCAGCUGAAAUAGCUGUGAGGGACGUUAUAAAGAGCUCAGAGGGCGAGAGCUGAGUCGGGCUGAUGUGAACCUUCACCCUCCACCUCUUUAGAAUGUCAGCGAGCACACACACACACACGCACACACACACACACACACACUGAGCUCUGUCAGAGUACGUCUCACUUUGUCUCGCACACAGAGACGCUCGGCCUUUGAAGGUCGCGUCGCUAACCUCUAAUGUGCUGCAGGGUCCCAGUAAGUAGCUGCAAACUGUUUUCUUUCAUCUUGAGGAAAAUAAAUGAGGAGACGGGAGAGGAGCGGUGGAAGUUAUCAGCAGGCAGAUUACAUCACAUCUGCAUAUAGGCAGGUUUGUCAGCAAGCUACAUGAACUCCACAGAUAGUCCUGAAUUGAAAUGACAUUUGAUUUAAGUUUUAAAAUGCGAAGACUCAAGAGUCUGACUGUCACGGUAUUUAUCUGAUUACUGAUUAAACAAAUGGACGUGCAUAACUGAUCCAAUACUAAAAUAUCUGAAAUGGGUUUGUUCUCUUCCAAGGAAAUUACUGAGACGUUUGACUGGAGGAAAACAGAGACUAACUCGGCUCCAAACUGAAGCCAUAGAAAUCAUUUUCCAGCCCACUGACGCAGAGCAGAGUUAUGAAGCUCAGCUGAACCUCAUACAGGGAGACUAACUUCGUAGCACUCAUAUUUAUUUGCGCUGCGCUCUCUGUUUGUUUGUCACGUCGGUGCAGGAGUGAUGCAACCUGCUGUUUCCACUAGAAAACAUUGUCCCAAGUCAAAGCGUCCUCACAUAUCGUGCUCAGUAAAUUAAUAAAUGGAAGGAUUCUCUUGUGGAGCUCUGUUUUACGUGUUCACCGGGAUAUUCCCACCUCCUGUCCACUUUCUGUCCAGACCAUUGACUUCUCACCACCGGCCUGUCCUUCCUUCUAGUUUUUCCGGGGUUUGGUGCUCGUCGUCGGGCUCAGGCCCAGCUUUCACCUGGCUGGGACCCUCGCGUGCUCCCUGGAGGUAUGUCGCCUGCAGCACUGGUUUCCUGCUCUCCCACCAGCUGCCCGAGGGUCUGGUCUGACUCCGUUAUCACCACUUGCCAAAGAGCUGUUAACUUCUCAGCCUGGCUUGAGUCGACUGUUUGCUCCCAGUAACCUCUCUGGUCUCAUCUAGAUUCACCAUGUUUGCUGGGUGACCAAGUGGCCGAGUUGACCAAGCUGCAGUUUACAUUCUGUCUCAUCUGGCCUUUUAUCUCCCGCUUCUGUAGCUCUUCAUAUAUUCUACAAAUAUCAUUUGCUCCAUGUCCCUGCAGUUAAAAAGCGGAUGCAGCAGCAUAAUCCUAAUUAUUUAAUUACAUCAAUAUUGGUCACUGCUGGAAUCACUGUUGUAAUUAAGCGUGAUUUGAGGUUCCGGGUGUGUGCAUGAAUUAAUAAUGUGCUAAUCAAAAAGCACUUGGGCUGAUUGCCAGGACAUUAACACCUAGAAAGCGAAUUAACUGUUGUCGGUUUCCAGCUCAGGGAGCACAUCUGCAUCCGCCGGGGUGUUAGUGGUAGGAUGUUUGAAAUCUCACAAUCUUAACAAAUGUAGUGAAGGAAGAGUUUCAUGGUGCCAUGUAGCUGUGGGAGACUCAAACCUACUGGGCAUUAGCAGCCAAGGAGAUGGGAAUUACUUUGCCCAAGCUCUGGGUGGACAC